AAGUCGUAACAAGGUUUCCGUAGGUGAACCUGCGGAAGGAUCAUUAAAGAAUGCCCCGUUUUUUGAAAUGGGUUCUAUUCCCAAACCGUGUAUACAUACCUUUGUUGCUUUGGCAGGCCGCCUUCGGGCGUCGGCUCACGCUGACCGCGCCUGCCAGAGGACCCAAACUCGUUUGUUUAGUGAUGUCUGAGUACUAUAUAAUAGUUAAAACUUUCAACAACGGAUCUCUUGGUUCUG
rnacentral:misc_RNA from 1 species